rnacentral:rRNA from 1 species
UACGAAGGGUGCAAGCGUUAAUCGGAAUUACUGGGCGUAAAGGGUGCGUAGGCGGUUCGUUAAGUCUGUUGUGAAAUCCCCGGGCUCAACCUGGGAAUGGCAAUGGAUACUGGCGAGCUAGAGUGUGAUAGAGGAUGGUGGAAUUUCGUGUGUAGGGGUGAAAUCCGUAAAUAUACGAAGGAACGCCAAAAGCGAAGGCAGCUCUCUGGGUCCCUACCGACGCUGGGGUGCGAAAGCAUGGGGAGCGAACAGG